AAUCCUUUUCGGUCGCUUCUUGGUGUGUACUUGUUGAUGGGGCCUUACCUCCUGGUGAACGGUGAUGUCCUUUACUGGGUGUCAUCGCAAACCAGGACGUUUACUUUGAAAAAAUUAGAGUGUUCAAAGCAGGCCUUUGCCCGAAUACAUUAGCAUGGAAUAAUAGAAUAGGACGCGCGUUCCCAUUUUGUUGGUUUCUGAGAUCGCCGUAAUGAUUAAUAGGGAUAGUUGGGA
rnacentral:rRNA from 1 species